GACGACGUAACAUUUAUGUCAAUUAAGCAAAACGUCGCCAUAUUUUCACACUGUUUUACUAGCAAAAAAACCCAUAAGAUGCAUCAACAUGACUUGAUAACAUGUGUGUGAUUAUUUAGUAGAAUAUAUUGCUAUCAUAAAGGUAAAUGUUGAAAAACUUCGAGAUACUACUCGCUUUCAAGAGUUACCAGUACCUUUAUUAUACUUGCCACCACCAGUUUUCGUUCAUUCUAAAUUAAAAAAUAUUAUGUAGAAUUUAAUUGGUUAAAAUUAUAGUGAAAUUGCGUCCAAUGUACUUAGUAUGAUUAAUUGAAUGUUGUUAUGAGCGAAAUAACAACAGGAAUAUCAUUGUAUGUGCUUUGAGAAUAAAAUACCACCUACACGAACUGAUGUCAUCAACGUCAACUAGCAGGUAGAGGAUAAUUUUAUUAAAUGAUAUAUGUUUACAAAAAAAACAUGCCUUUGCUGUUGUUAUGAGCGAAUAACAACAUGCAGAGCAUGUUCUAUAUGUUGACAAUAGAAUACCAUGUAUUGACUGCUGUCAUGAACAUUUAACAACAGGCGUGGCAUGGUCUAUAUGGCAAUAAUAAAAUAUCCUGCCUUGACAGUUGUCAUAAACAUAUUACAACAUUAAGAGCAUGUUUUAUAUGAUAACCAUAGAAUACUAUGCAUUGACUGUUGUUAUGAACGCGAAAAAACACAGGCGGAGCAUUUUCCAUAUAUUGAUGAUAGAGUACCAUGCCAUGGCUGUUGUAAUAAACAUGUAACAACAGAAAAAGCAUGUUCUAUAUGUUGACAAUAUAAUAUUCUGCCUUGCAUGUUCUCAUGAAAGUAUAACAACAGGCAGAGCAUGUUUUAUAUGUUGACAAUAGGAAACCGUGCAUUUACCGUGUUGUCAUGAGCAUAUAACAACAGGCAGAGCAUGUUGUAUAAGUUGAUAAUAGCGUUCCAUGCCUAGGACAGUUGUAAUGAACAUUUAGCAACAGGCAAAGCAUGUUCUAUAUGUUAACAAUGGAAUAACAUGUCUUGACUGUUGUAAUGAACAUAUAACAACAGGCGUAGCAUGGUUUAUAUGGCAGCAAUAGAAUGAAUACCCUGCAUUGACUUCUGUCAUGAAUAUAUAACAACAUUAAGAGAAUGUUCUAUAUAUGUAAACAAUAUAAUACUGUGCAUAGCCUGUUGUUAUGAACGCAUAACAACAGGCGGAGCAUGUUUUAUAUGUUGACAAUAGGAAACCGUGCCUUUACCGUUGUCAUGAACAUAUAACAACAGGCAGAGCAUGUUGUAUACUUUGAUAAUAGCGUACUAUGCCUAGACUGUUGUAAUUAACAUAUAUCAACAGGCAGAGCAUGUUCUAUAUGUUAACAAUGGAAUACCAUGUCUUGACUGUUGUAAUGAAUAUAUAACAACAGGCGUAGCAUGGUCUAUAUGGCAGCAAUACAAAACCCUGCAUUGACUGCUGUCGUAAAUAUAUAACAACAGUAAGAGAAUGUUCUUUAUGUAAACAAAAUAAUACUAUGCAUGGCCUGUUGUUAUGAACGCAUAACAACAGGCGGAGCAUGUUCUAUAAGUUGUACAUAUAACAAAAGGCAAAGAAUGUUGACAAAAUAAUAUUCUGCCUUGACUGUUGUUAUGAGCGUUUGACAACACACAGAACAUGUUCUAUAUGUUCACAUUGGAAUAUAAUUCAUUGUCUGUUGUCAUGAACGCAUAGCAACAGGCUGAGCAUGUUCUAUAUGCUGACAAAAUAAUAUCCUGCAUUGACCUGUGCAAUGAACAUAUAACAAAAGGCAGAGCAUGUUGUAUAUGGUGAUAAAAGAAUACCAUGCCUUUGCUGUUGUCAUGAGCAUAAUACAACAGACAGAGCAUUUUCUAUAUUUUGACAACAAAAUAUCAUGCCUUGCCUGUUGUCAUGAACGUUAACUUAAGCAACAGGCGGAGCAUGUUUUAAAUGUUGACAAUAGAAUACCAUGCCUUUGCUGUGGUCAUGAACAUAUAACGUCAGGCGGAGUAUGUUAUGCCUUGGUUGGUUUUAUGUGAUGACAUCAGGAGGUGCAUAUUCUACAUGUUGAACGUAGAAUACCAUGCCUUUGCUGGUGUCAUGUACAUAUAUCAACAGGCGGAGCAUGUUGUAUUUGUUGACAAUAGAAUGCCAUGCAUUGACAGUAUUGGAACAGCAACAAUCAAAGCCUGGGCUGUAUGAUGGCAAUAUAGUGCCAUGCUUGUAUUGUUGUUAUGAACGUAUAACAUUAGGAAGAACAUAAUGCAUAUAUUGGCAAUGGAAUACAAUAUUUGAACUAUUUAAACGAGCGAACAACGACAAGCAGUGCACUGGCCUCGUUUUAUUUGGAUUUUUAUUUUUCUGUUUUAUGAUAACUUCACUAUAUGCUGUCACUCACUAUAGUUUCUAACCGAAUCCGCUUCAAGGAUGACACACGUGUCAAAAAAGGAAGUCCAAUACCAUCUACUGGUGCACCAUUUGUGAUCGUCGGCUUCCGGUUACUUGAAUGCCACCAAGGUCCCGACCAUAGGAAACAGGCCAACUAGAGUACAAAUAAGCUCGUUGAAACCGGCGAUCACAACUAUACGCAAAUGGCCUAUAAAAAGAGAGUCACGGGCUCCAAAAUGCUGAGAUGCACAGCCUCAAUAUUACUGAGGGAGUGCAUUAGAUUCCCAGGUUAUAAGCCUAAGAAAGAUAGUCAUUUAUGCCAGGACAUGUGCUGGCAACAAUUGAGAAACGACCUACAGUCGGCAGUAUUUGACGAGGUCACAAUGGAAAAAUGCAUUUUCAUUGACCUGCCCAAGAUCGAAGAUCAUCAGGGCCAUACAAUGGAAGACGUUAUUGAGCCGAAAAAGAAAGUACUGUACUUUUAUGACUCAUUGGGAGAAACAACCUUCCAACAAAGACACAUGGUACAAAACUGGAAAAACUUUCUCGGACGAACCUUGAAUGAAAACACAAACUGGAGGCUGGAAGUUCCAGUUCAUUAAAAACUGGUUUCAACUG